rnacentral:misc_RNA from 1 species
AAGUCGUAACAAGGUAACCGUAGGUGAACCUGCGGUUGGAUCAUUAAUAAAUCUCACAUCCCCAUUUUUGGGAUAUAUGACACUGCUUGCUUGAGAGAGCAAAUACAGCUUUGUCAUUUUUGUACCGAGGAUAAGUUUAAAGUGGUAUUACCAAUAAUUUGAUCUAGUAUUAAAUUAUCGGGAAACAACUUCUUACUGACUUCUUGGGAAAAUUUUAAAGGAAGAAUUCCUUAAAAAUUAAAAAACAUAAUAACAAAAACAACUUCUGGCAACGGAUCUCUUGGCUCUU